ACUGGCGGGCGUAGCGAGCCGCUGUUACCCGUGCGGGGGUCGGCUCGGUGGAGGCAUCAGUGGUGCCGCUGUAGUGUGGGGUGUUAGCGGCCAAACGCCCCACUGGGAUCGCAGCCCCCGGCGAUCCCCGCGCGGAGGCGGGAGGAUCGCUGGAGAUGCUGCGGCGCGCAACGCCCCAGGCUGGAAACAGAGCAGGGAAAAGUGCCCGCUGCGUUCCGCGGUGGGACAACGGGGGGCCGCGCCCGGGCUGCGGCGGCCCGCGGCGGCCAACGCCGAGCUUU
rfam:Eimeria tenella Houghton genomic scaffold, Eth_scaff535